rnacentral:misc_RNA from 1 species
GCCUUACUGAAUCUGUUAAACCGUGCUCUUGGUGACUACUCCAAAUCAUAUAAUGCCUUCUUUAAUCUACAGACUUUCCCUUUGGUCUUUUCAUCCUCAAAUCCUUGAGGAAUCUCCAUACACACACCUCUUCUAAAUCCCAUAUGUACUUCCUCUUCUAAAUCUCCAUGCAAAAAAGUAUUUUUAACAUCAAACUGUUGUAGGUCCUAUUCAAG